rnacentral:rRNA from 1 species
UACAGAGGUCCCAAGCGUUGUUCGGAUUUAUUGGGCGUAAAGGGUGCGUAGGCGGCGGAGUAAGUUGGGUGUGAAAUCCCGGGGCUCAACCUCGGAAUUGCAUUCAAUACUGCUUCGCUAGAGUACUGGAGAGGAGGCUGGAAUUUACGGUGUAGCAGUGAAAUGCGUAGAUAUGUAAUAGAACACCGAUUGCGAAGGCAGUUCACUAAGGUUGUAUUGACACUGAGGCACGAAAGCGUGGGGAGCAAACAGG